GCGGGUGUAGUUUAGUGGUAAAACCUUGGCCUUCCAAGCCAAUGACGGGGGUUCGAUUCCCCUCACCCGCU
rnacentral:tRNA from 1 species